rnacentral:rRNA from 1 species
CCUGAGAAACGGCUACCACAUCCAAGGAAGGCAGCAGGCGCGCAAAUUACCCACUCCCGGCACGGGGAGGUAGUGACGAAAAAUAACGAUACGGGACUCAUCCGAGGCCCCGUAAUCGGAAUGAGUACACUCCUUUAACGAUUAACAAUUGGAGGGCAAGCCUGGUGCCAGCAGCCGCGGUAACCCCAGCUCCAAUAGCGUAUAUUAAAGUUGUUGCGGUUAAAAAGCUCGUAGUUGAGUCUGUGUCCCACACUGUCGGUUCACCGCUCGGCUCCAACUGGCAUGUCUGUGGGACGUCCUACCGGUGGGCAGCCCGUCAAAAGGCGGCCCAACUCAAAAUCCUACCACGGUGCUCUUCACCGAGUGUCGAGGUGGGCCGGUACGUUUACUUUGAACAAAUUAGAGUGCUUAAAGCAGCUCAUUCGCCUGAAUAUUCUGUGCAUGGAAUAAUGGAAUAGGACCUCGGUUCUAUUUUGUUGGUUUUCGGAACUCCGAGGUAAUGAUUAAUAGGGACAACUGGGGGCAUUCGUAUUGCUACGUUAGAGGUGAAAUUCUUGGACCGUCGCAAGACGGACAGAAGCGAAAGCAUUUGCCAAAUGUGUUUUCAUCAAUCAAGAACGAAAGUUAGAGGUUCGAAGGCGAUCAGAUACCGCCCUAGUUCUAACCAUAAACGAUGCCAGCUAGCGAUCCGCCGAAGUUCCUCCGAUGACUCGGCGGGCAGCUUCCGGGAAACCAAAGCUUUUGGGUUCCGGGGGAAGUAUGGUUGCAAAGCUGAAACUUAAAGGAAUUGACGGAAGAUCACCACCAGGAGUGGAGCCUGCGGCUUAAUUUGACUCAACACGGGGAACCUCACCAGGCCCAGACACCGGAAGGAUUGACAGAUUGAGAGCUCUUUCUUGAUUCGGUGGGAGGUGGUGCAUGGCCGUUCUUAGUUGGUGGAGCGAUCUGUCUGCUUUAUUCCGAUAACGAACGAGACUC